rnacentral:misc_RNA from 1 species
GGUGGCGGCAGUUGGUUGGGGCUUGUGCAGGUGCUGUGGGGUGGCGCUCUCUCCUUUGCCACCUCUCCCCUCACGUCCUUACGCGUCGCUCACUCCGCGGGUGACACGGGCGGUGACUCCGCCACCAUGGCCUCCUCGUGGGUUCGGCGAGGCCUUGUUUGGAGCUACGGUCGUCAGAUCUGGCUCCCCGGUGGUGAUGUGUGGCAACAACAAGUGGACAGCAGUGGCCCUGGUGGCGACUGCGGGGUUUGUGCGUUGGCGGCGGAGGUAGCUUGCUUUUGUCCUGGGGGCCUCGCUUGGCAUUGUGCUGGGUUUUCUUGGGCGAAAGCCUUGGCGACGGCAACGCUCCUGGGCGCCGCUUCCCCUGUUGAGGGCGUCGUGCUUCCCAGCACUGUCUUAC